UCUCACUCUGCAUCUGGAGGGUCUCCCCAUGAGAGGAGAGGAUGGCACCCCUCAAGCCCCCUCUCACUUCGAUGCUCCAGGCUGGGGCUGGGAGAGAAACAGAAGCAGGAUGAGAGCAAGCUGGGAAGAUACUUCCUCUCUUUUGUAACCUUUCCAUUUGUGCUUACUUGAGAGGGAAACAAGACUGACUCUAACUGACCUUCUCUUCAAACGUUUCUGUGGAUGCCACAAAUGAUUGUAAUCUUCUCUAUGAAAUCAUGUUCUUGGUGCAGAAAGCACAGUCAGAUGGCGUCCCUGGGGACCAGUUCCUCUGACCCAGUGAGUCAACACUUUCAUCAGCCCCGGGGCUCUGCCAGGGAACCAGCACCUCUUCCUUCUCUCACUUGAAUGCAUUUGAUGGAGAACAAAGAUGAUAUUUCCCUGGACCCUAAAGCAUACCACACACUCAUGAGGUUCUCUUGAACGUGGCUCUGAAAAGUGUCCCCUCCCACUGGCCGGACAGUGGCCAUCAGAGUUGAAGGCAGUUUGUAAAGCCUGUCCUGAGUCACAGGUAGGAUGCAGCAGGUUCAUCAUGCGUGCCUCAGGCCAUCUACAGGUGGAAGUGAAUGAAAAGACCAGUGAGUGUCCCAAAGUCAUUUGCUUUUGUUUGUCUGCACCUCCUCUCCCCCACCUACCCAUUGUUACAUUUAUUUAUUUUUUUUCUUGACACCAUUUGUGGUGGUUUGAGUAAGAAUGGUCCCCAUAGGCUCACAUAUCUGAGCACUUAGUCAUCAAGGAGUGGCACUAUUUGAGAAGUAUUAGGAGGUGUGGCCUUGUUGGAGGCCUUGUGUGUCACUGGGGGUGGGCUUUGGGGUUUCAAAAGUCCAUGCCAGACCCAGUCCCCUCUCUUCCUGUGGAUUACAUAUCAGGAUGUAGAACUCUCAGCCACUGCUCCAGCAUGUGCCUGCAUGCCACCAUGCUCCCGCCAUGAUGACAAGGGGCUAAACCUCUGAAACUAUAAGCAAGUCCCAAUUAAAUGCUUUCUUUUAUAAGAGUUGCCUUGAUCAUGGUGUCUCUUUAGAGCAAUAGGACUAUUACUGUAAUUAACAAGGCAAUUCCACGUAAUUUACCUGGUAAUCAAGAGAGGUUUAUUUCUGGGAUAACUGACAGCCAAUAGGGGUUGGUUACAGGAUCUGGGAGAGAUGAGGUACCAUCCAGCGGAGAACUCUGGCUUGGUGUCCCAUCCAGCUUCCAGGAUCAUGAGGUAUCCAGAAGGGCCAAACAUGUAGGCAUCGAGUCUUAAGGGGCUCCCUCUCAGCCAUGCCAUAGGGGCAGGGCAUAGGCAGGUGUGGCAGUUACCUGCUGUCACUCUAGGGGCAGUGUUUCAAGGUCAAAGCUGAAACAGCUACCCACUACAUCUCCCCCCUUUUGUCUAAACAAGAAAACUCUAUAUUUACUGAAUUAAAUGUGCUAUCCAAGAAACUUUCUUGGAGUAUCUGUGUGGUGAAUGUAUCUCCCUUCUGACAAAAGGUAUGCCUGGGCCCUGGCAAGUGCUCUGUGAGUUAGUUUCUACUCACCCCUGCUGGUUUCCUGUGUGUGCUAUUCUCAGACCAGCCUCCUCUGACUGACCUAGCCUAAGAGGGUAUGUUCACCACUCUUGCCUACUCUGUUUCUUUUUUUUUUUAAUUUUUAAAAUCACAUUUCUUUAUUUAGUCAAUGGGUGUGUGUGUGUGUG